CCUACGGGUGGCAGCAGUGAGGAAUAUUGGUCAAUGGGCGGGAGCCUGAACCAGCCAAGCCGCGUGAGGGAGGAAGGUACUGCGUAUCGUAAACUUCUUUUGUAAGGGAAUAAAGUGUGGCACGUGUGCCUGGAUGAGUGUACUUUAAGAAUAAGGAUCGGCUAACUCCGUGCCAGCAGCCGCGGUAAUACGGAGGAUGCGAGCGUUAUCCGGAUUUAUUGGGUUUAAAGGGUGCGUAGAUGGGUUGUUAAGUCAGGGGUCAAAGCUUGGGGCUCAACCGUAGCAUUGCCUUUGAUACUGGCAGUCUGGAGUACAGGAGAGGUAUGCGGAAUGCGUGGUGUAGCGGUGAAAUGCAUAGAUAUCACGAAGAACUCCGAUUGCGAAGGCAGCUUACUAGACCGCCACUGACGUUGAGGCUCGAAAGCGUGGGUAUCAAACAGGAUUAGAUACCCGUGUAGUC
rnacentral:rRNA from 1 species